GGGGGCGCUUUGGAUUCGACGCCGGUAUCAAACCCUAAGGUGCAUGUCGAGAGAGUAUAGGCUCUCGUAAAUCAAUCUAUGCAACUUUUUAGUUGCCAACGACGAUAGCUACGCUCUAGCAGCUUAGUGCUGCUAGCGAUCGCCCCGGGAUGCCUGUAAACCGGUGUUUUGCGAUUGUCAUAUAGAACAGGAUCGCCAGCCUAGCGCGCCCAGCGCGAAGCAGCUAAAAGUACUGGGCUCGCCCGAACUACCCUGCCCGUCGGGCCGGUAAGGGUUAACUUAAUAGACGACGCUAAACAUGUAGAUCCAAAGGCAGCGGACUGACGGACGGGGGUUCAAAUCCCCCCGCCUCCACCA
rnacentral:tmRNA from 1 species